AUACGUAGGGUGCGAGCGUUGUCCGGAAUUACUGGGCGUAAAGAGCUCGUAGGUGGUUUGUCGCGUCGUCUGUGAAAUUCCGGGGCUUAACUCCGGGCGUGCAGGCGAUACGGGCAUAACUUGAGUACUGUAGGGGAGACUGGAAUUCCUGGUGUAGCGGUGAAAUGCGCAGAUAUCAGGAGGAGCACCGGUGGCGAAGGGGGGUCUCUGGGCAGUAACUGACGCUGAGGAGCGAAAGCAUGGGUGGCGAACAGGAUUAGAUACCCUGGUAGUCCAUGCCGUAAACGGUGGGCGCUAGGUGUAGGGGUCUUCCACGACUUCUGUGCCGUAGCUAACGCAUUAAGCGCCCCGCCUGGGGAGUACGGCCGCAAGGCUAAAACUCAAAUGAAUUGACGGGG
rnacentral:rRNA from 1 species